rnacentral:rRNA from 1 species
AAGACCUUGCGCUUUUGGAGCGGCCGAUGCCUGAUUAGCUUGUUGGUAAGGUAAAAGCUUACCAAGGCUUCGAUCAGUAGCUGGUCUGAGAGGACGACCAGCCACACUGGGACUGAGACACGGCCCAGACUCCUACGGGAGGCAGCAGUGGGGAAUUUUGGACAAUGGGGGCAACCCUGAUCCAGCCAUGCCGCGUGAGUGAAGAAGGCCUUCGGGUUGUAAAGCUCUUUCAGCCGGAACGAAACGGUUACGGUUAAUACCCGUGACUACUGACGGUACCGGAAGAAGAAGCACCGGCUAACUACGUGCCAGCAGCCGCGGUAAUACGUAGGGUGCGAGCGUUAAUCGGAAUUACUGGGCGUAAAGCGUGCGCAGGUGGUUUUGUAAGUCAGGUGUGAAAGCCCCGGGCUCAACUUGGGAACU